rnacentral:rRNA from 1 species
CCUACGGGAGGCAGCAGUGAGGAAUAUUGGUCAAUGGACGAGAGUCUGAACCAGCCAAGUAGCGUGAAGAAUGACUGCCCUAUGGGUUGUAAACUUCUUUUAUAUGGGAAUAAAAUGUUCCACGUGUGGGAUUUUGUAUGUACCAUAUGAAUAAGGAUCGGCUAACUCCGUGCCAGCAGCCGCGGUAAUACGGAGGAUCCGAGCGUUAUCCGGAUUUAUUGGGUUUAAAGGGAGCGUAGGUGGAUUGUUAAGUCAGUUGUGAAAGUUUGCGGCUCAACCGUAACAUUGCAGUUGAAACUGGCAGUCUUGAGUACAGUAGAGGUGGGCGGAAUUCGUGGUGUAGCGGUGAAAUGCUUAGAUAUCACGAAGAACUCCGAUUGCGAAGGCAGUUCACUGGACUGCAACUGACACUGAGGCUAGAAAGUGUGGGUAUCAAACAGGAUUAGAUACCCCUGUAGUC